rnacentral:rRNA from 1 species
CUGGCGGCGUGCUUAACACGAUGCAAGUCGAACGCGAAAGGGACUUCGGUCCUGAGUAAAGUGGCGCACGGGUGAGUAACGCGUAGAUAACCUGUCUUCAUGGUCUGGAAUAAUACGCCGAAAGGGGUACUAAUACCGGAUAUUCUUGCUUUUCAUAAGUUAUGCAAGCAAAGGUGGCCUCUGCAUAUGCUACUGCAUGAAGAGGGGUCUGCGUACCAUUAGCUAGUAGGUGGGGUAAUGGCCUACCUAGGCGACGAUGGUUAGCGGGUCUGAGAGGAUGAUCCGCCACACUGGCACUGGAACACGGGCCAGACUCCUACGGGAGGCAGCAGUGAGGAAUAUUGCGCAAUGGGGGAAACCCUGACGCAGCGACGCCGCGUGAGUGAGGAAGGCCUUCGGGUCGUAAAGCUCUGUCAAGAGGAAAGAAGUGUACAAUGGCUAAUACCUGUUGUAUUUGACGGUACCUCUAAAGGAAGCACCGGCUAACUCCGUGCCAGCCGCCGC